rnacentral:rRNA from 1 species
CCAAACUGUUGCCUCGGCGGGGUCACGCCCCGGGUGCGUCGCAGCCCCGGAACCAGGCGCCCGCCGGAGGAACCAACCAAACUCUUUCUGUAGUCCCCUCGCGGACGUAUUUCUUACAGCUCUGAGCAAAAAUUCAAAAUGAAUCAAAACUUUCAACAACGGAUCUCUUGGUUCUGGCAUCGAUGAAGAACGCAGCGAAAUGCGAUAAGUAAUGUGAAUUGCAGAAUUCAGUGAAUCAUCGAAUCUUUGAACGCACAUUGCGCCCGCCAGUAUUCUGGCGGGCAUGCCUGUCCGAGCGUCAUUUCAACCCUCGAACCCCUCCGGGGGAUCGGCGUUGGGGAUCGGGACCCCUCACACGGGUGCCGGCCCCGAAAUACAGUGGCGGUCUCGCCGCAGCCUCUCCUGCGCAGUAGUUUGCACAACUCGCACCGGGAGCGCGGCGCGUCCACGUCCGUAAAACACCCAACUUUCUGAAAUGUUGACCUCGGAUCAGGUAGGAAUACCCGCUGAACUUAAGCAUAUCAA